AGAAGAGGAGGCUGUUGAAACUUUUAAAGAAUUUCCUAAGUUCGAUAUUCACCUUGGAUAAUACAGAAUUUGUAGAGUUGCCUUCAACGAAUGAAAAGUUACUUCAUGGAUGACGAACGUUACGAGUCUAAAGGUGAAGGAACGGAAUAUUACCCCGACUAUGAAAACAUCUCAUCGGUAUAGAAACAAUCUUCACUUGGCAUAAAGUCUUUUAGUUGUUUAUCUCUUUGAAGACUUCUCAUAUUCUUUGUUUCGUAUGGUCAUGCAAU